rnacentral:rRNA from 1 species
CAGGGCAGUGCGGAUGCUAUACAUGCAGUAGAACGCUGAAGAGAGGAGCUUGCUCUUCUUGGAUGAGUUGCGAACGGGUGAGUAACGCGUAGGUAACCUGCCUUGUAGCGGGGGAUAACUAUUGGAAACGAUAGCUAAUACCGCAUAACAAUGGAUGACACAUGUCAUUUAUUUGAAAGGGGCAAUUGCUCCACUACAAGAUGGACCUGCGUUGUAUUAGCUAGUAGGUGAGGUAAUGGCUCACCUAGGCGACGAUACAUAGCCGACCUGAGAGGGUGAUCGGCCACACUGGGACUGAGACACGGCCCAGACUCCUACGGGAGGCAGCAGUAGGGAAUCUUCGGCAAUGGGGGCAACCCUGACCGAGCAACGCCGCGUGAGUGAAGAAGGUUUUCGGAUCGUAAAGCUCUGUUGUAAGUCAAGAACGGGUGUGAGAGUGGAAAGUUCACACUGUGACGGUAGCUUACCAGAAAGGGACGGCUAACUACGUGCCAGCAGCCGCGGUAAUACGUAGGUCCCGAGCGUUGUCCGGAUUUAUUGGGCGUAAAGCGAGCGCAGGCGGUUUGAUAAGUCUGAAGUUAAAGGCUGUGGCUCAACCAUAGUUCGCUUUGGAAACUGUCAAACUUGAGUGCAGAAGGGGAGAGUGGAAUUCCAUGUGUAGCGGUGAAAUGCGUAGAUAUAUGGAGGAACACCGGUGGCGAAAGCGGCUCUCUGGUCUGUAACUGACGCUGAGGCUCGAAAGCGUGGGGAGCGAACAGGAUUAGAUACCCUGGUAGUCCACGCCGUAAACGAUGAGUGCUAGGUGUUGGAUCCUUUCCGGGAUUCAGUGCCGCAGCUAACGCAUUAAGCACUCCGCCUGGGGAGUACGACCGCAAGGUUGAAACUCAAAGGAAUUGACGGGGGCCCGCACAAGCGGUGGAGCAUGUGGUUUAAUUCGAAGCAACGCGAAGAACCUUACCAGGUCUUGACAUCCCGAUGCUAUUUCUAGAGAUAGAAAGUUACUUCGGUACAUCGGUGACAGGUGGUGCAUGGUUGUCGUCAGCUCGUGUCGUGAGAUGUUGGGUUAAGUCCCGCAACGAGCGCAACCCCUAUUGUUAGUUGCCAUCAUUCAGUUGGGCACUCUAGCGAGACUGCCGGUAAUAAACCGGAGGAAGGUGGGGAUGACGUCAAAUCAUCAUGCCCCUUAUGACCUGGGCUACACACGUGCUACAAUGGUUGGUACAACGAGUUGCGAGUCGGUGACGGCGAGCUAAUCUCUUAAAGCCAAUCUCAGUUCGGAUUGUAGGCUGCAACUCGCCUACAUGAAGUCGGAAUCGCUAGUAAUCGCGGAUCAGCACGCCGCGGUGAAUACGUUCCCGGGCCUUGUACACACCGCCCGUCACACCACGAGAGUUUGUAACACCCGAAGUCGGUGAGGUAACCUUUGGAGCCAGCCGCCUAAGAUGGACAGAAGAGGGGG